rnacentral:snRNA from 1 species
GGAUGUGAGGGCAAUCUGGCUGUGACAUCUGUCACACUCCAUUGAUCACCAGGGUUGAUAUGGUUGAUCUGGCUGGCUAGGUGAGUUUCACCUUCCUCCCUCACCGCUUCAUCUGUGUCCCUACAGAAGUUGCAUACUAGGUCAAAGAGGAUGACCAACCCCACUAGAAGAGGAUCGCUCUUCAAUCAAGGGUAUAUGAGUAGCUGCACUCCCCUGCUAGAACCUCCAAGGAAACUCUCAAAACUAAAUUAUAGGCUCACCAAGAAUUUAUUUUUAUGUAUCUCCCAAGUACCAGGUGACCAUACGAU